rnacentral:rRNA from 1 species
GACGAACGCUGGCGGCGUGCUUAACACAUGCAAGUCGAACGGAAAGGCCCUGCUUUUGUGGGGUGCUCGAGUGGCGAACGGGUGAGUAACACGUGAGUAACCUGCCCUUGACUUUGGGAUAACUUCAGGAAACUGGGGCUAAUACCGGAUAGGAGCUCCUGGUGCAUGGUGGGGGUUGGAAAGUUUCGGCGGUUGGGGAUGGACUCGCGGCUUAUCAGCUUGUUGGUGGGGUAGUGGCUUACCAAGGCUUUGACGGGUAGCCGGCCUGAGAGGGUGACCGGCCACAUUGGGACUGAGAUACGGCCCAGACUCCUACGGGAGGCAGCAGUGGGGAAUAUUGCACAAUGGGCGGAAGCCUGAUGUAGCAACGCCGCGUGCGGGAUGACGGCCUUCGGGUUGUAAACCGCUUUCGCCUGUGACGAAGCGUGAGUGACGGUAAUGGGUAAAGAAGCACCGGCUAACUACGUG